UCCUCGCAGACCACUAGCAUGCUGGAGUCGAACGUCUGCGGAUAGAUACCCAUCUUGGAUUCCAAAGCAUUUUGUUACGGCCUGCUUAUUUCGAUGGGGCAAGGCCGGCUAGCCAGUCAUCAACAGGGCGGAUUCUUCCCCUGUGCCCACAGGUCGCACCAUAAAUUCCACUCGGCAUGGAAUCCACAAAAACAACAAAGAAACAUCAACAGAAACUACAAGUGAAGCCCUAAUACCGGACGACACGACGCAGAUUUGGGUCUUCGAUGGAAAGGACCCUGACGCACCCCCCCUACCAAGGAUCCGUCUAUUUCCCAUUUGAGGAUCUCCCUGGCAUGUGGUUCAUCGGCUUCCUCCAGGUUAUCGGCUCAUCCGUUCGUCUUCAGAAUUCCUGCCUACAUGGAGCUCCAAGGAGGAUCAGGGGCUGAGACGGGUCAGGUGGUUAUUUACGAAAGGUCCAUACUCCUACACAGGAUCGGCCUGGUCUUCUCGGAGGUCGUAUUCCAAGAUUUAGAUUUAAUUUUGCUUGGACUCGGCGCGAUUUAAUUGUACAUAAGUUACUGGUUAUUUAUAUCAUAUUUAUAUUUUUUUGGA